rnacentral:rRNA from 1 species
UACGUAGGUGGCAAGCGUUAUCCGGAAUACUGGGCGUAAAGCGCACGCAGGCGGUCUUGUAAGUUUGACGUGAAAGCUCCCGGCUUAACUGGGAGAGGUCGUUGAAGACUGCAAGACUUGAGGAAAUGAGAGGGGUGUAGAAUUCCCGGUGUAGUGGUGGAAUGCGUAGAUAUCGGGGGGAAUGACCAGUGGCGAAAGCGGCACCCUAGCAUUUUUCUGACGCUCAUGUGCGAAAGCGUGGGGAGCGAACGGG